AAACGUCUGAUGGUGUAAUUGUGCAAUUGCUUUGCAGUUUCUGGAUGUUCUUAGUUCACGCAACAGUUUAGGGAUUUAAUAGUCUUUGGAGAAAUCUCGAAACUUUGAUUGGCUUGGGUGGCCGAAUCUCGAACCUAUGUUGAGUAGGUUGUCGAGGCGUUGUUACUGCACUUCUGUUCAUCGACCAUGGCUGUUUCUAGGAUUGGGCAACCCCGGAGACAAAUACAAAGGGACUAGACACAACAUUGGCUUCGAGAUGAUUGAUACUUUUGCUGAGUCAGUGGGAAUUCAGAUGAACCUGGUCAA